AGUCGCGACACUCCCAUUGGACUGCGUUGUACGCUGUUUGCCGCCUACUUCCGGGGUAUGCAGCCUCGCAUAGUUCCAAAAAGCCAUUCUAUGGCGUCGGACAUCAUUCACUUCCAUUGCUGACUGUCGAGUAACUUCUGAGGCGGCUGCUGCUGGAGGCGAUGACUGCUUGAGCUGGCUGAUGUUGGCGAAGGAUGGUGAUGGCGGCUGCUGCUUGUGACGGCUGAUGAUAAUGUUGGCCACUGCUGGCGCUGGCAGCUGGUGGCGGCUGGUGCUGGCCAUGGCUGCUAGUGGCGACUGCUGACUGCUGGAAUAAGAGGAGACUGGAGGCUGUGGAGACUCCGGACGGUGUGCCGGGAAUGGAGUGGCCGAGUACAUCCAUGGCAACCAGUAAGGUGUUCGUUAGUGGCCUAGAUGGUAUGACCUUAGGUGAGGAGGUCUGCUGUGUGGAAAUCGCCUUCUUGGUCUGACUCUUGCUGCCAAGCUCAUGGCAUGAGGGAAGGUUGCUGUCCAGACUCAUGGCCUCUCUUUCCAGCUGUUCCACUACGUUGGAGGAUUCCAUAAGGGAAUCACUCGUCUGGGAACGGAAGAGGUGCUCCACGUGCUGCAGGAGAGUGAACAGCUCAUCGCAUGGCCGUGCACAUUGGCAUUCCUCACAGAGCGAGAAGCUGAUGACCCUCUUCGCUAUGUAUCCUGCCAGGUGGUAGAAGACACAAGACUCGGUCUUUGUGAGGUCAGGUGGGUCUACCAGCUGCUCCACUCUCACAACCUCAGAAGCACUGCAGUUGCUGUUCUUGUUGUCCAAGAAGUCCGCCAAGUGGUCUGAUGCAUCAUCCAGAUCUUGCUGGACCAGCACUAUCGUUGUUGUGGCCAUCACAGGUUUCAGUGGAGCGCCCCCCCCCCCAAAUAAAAUGGUUACGAUACCUGUUCUUAACGCCUGUUUACACAUUUGUUGUUCUUGUUCACACAUACUGUACGUAUGUUUGUUGAUAUUAUUCAUGCUUGUUCCCAUUUUU